UACGGAGGGGGCUAGCGUUGUUCGGAAUUACUGGGCGUAAAGCGCGCGUAGGCGGCUUUGUAAGUUAGAGGUGAAAGCCCGGGGCUCAACCCCGGAAUUGCCUUUAAGACUGCAUCGCUUGAAUUGUGGAGAGGUGAGUGGAAUUCCGAGUGUAGAGGUGAAAUUCGUAGAUAUUCGGAAGAACACCAGUGGCGAAGGCGACUCACUGGACACAUAUUGACGCUGAGGUGCGAAAGCGUGGGGAGCAAACAGG
rnacentral:rRNA from 1 species